GUAAUCACUUCGGCAGCACAUAUACCUACCUGGAGCAAUACAGAGACGAUUAGCAUGGCCUCUGCCCAAGGGUGACAGGCAAAUCCGUGAAAUGUUCCAUAUUUUA
rnacentral:snRNA from 1 species